AACAAAAUUUUGACUGCAUUUUGUCUGUGACUCAUCACAUGAGGUCAUGUGUGAAAUUUUUCACUUGUGGCAUCGAGUCAGUGUUCAAAAAGUUUUGGAUUUUGGAGGAUUUCAGAUUUUAGAUUUUUGGAUUAGGGAUGCUCAACCUAGGUGGUGGUUUGAAUUUGCACGCGUUGAUAGUCUGCCCUUGGACAUUCAAGAUAGCCUCUCACAACAUGUCUCCAAACUGUUGAUUUAUCUUUUUUUUUUCUUUUUUUUGAGAUGGAGUCUCGCUCUGUUGCCAGGCUGGAGUGCAGUGGCACGAUCUUGGCUCACUGCAACCUCGCCGCCCUCUAAUUUCCACUGGUCAAAAUUCCUCUCAUUAUUUGACUAGCACUAGUACUCAGUUUGUACCUUCCCUGACCUUAUUUUGUUUUGUUUUAUGUACUUGUCAUAUUAGUUCUUUAACUCUGUAUUUUGAAAUACUUUCAAACUCACAGAAAAGUUACAAAAAUUAUACUGAACAUACACCCUUUGCACGGAUACAC
rnacentral:lncRNA from 1 species